UACGAGGGGUCCUAGCGUUGUUCGGAAUUAUUGGGCGUAAAGAGUAUGUAGGCGGCUAGAUAAGUCAGGUGUGAAAGCCCCGGGCUCAACCCGGGAAGUGCAUUUGAUACUGUCUAGCUUGAGUACUGGAGAGGGUAGUGGAAUUCCAGGUGUAGUGGUGAAAUACGUAGAUAUCUGGAGGAACACCGGUGGCGAAGGCGGCUACCUGGCCAUGUACUGACGCUGAGAUACGAAAGCGUGGGGAGCAAACAG
rnacentral:rRNA from 1 species